rnacentral:rRNA from 1 species
AUUGAACGCUGGCGGCAGGCCUAACACAUGCAAGUCGAGCGAGCGGCGGACGGGUGCGUAAUGUCGGGGAAACUGCCUGAUGGAGGGGGAUAACUACUGGAAACGGUAGCUAAUACCGCAUACCAUCAGAUUUGACCAGAUUGUAUUAGCUAGUAGGUGGGGUAAUGGCUCACCUAGGCGACGAUCCCUAGCUGGUCUGAGAGGAUGACCAGCCACACUGGAACUGAGACACGGUCCAGACUCCUACGGGAGGCAGCAGUGGGGAAUAUUUCACAAUGGGCGCAAGCCUGAGCCAGCCAGGCCGCGUGUGUGAAGAAGGCCUUCGGGUUGUAAAGCACUGUCAGCGGGGAGGCGUUACCCGCAGAAGAAGCACCGGCUAACUCCGUGCCAGCAGCCGCGGGAAUUC